ACGGGUGCGUAACGCGUAUCAAACCUGCCUCAUACUCGGGGAUAGCCUUGCGAAAGUAAGAUUAAUACCCGAUGUUGUUAUGUUGCCGCAUGGUGAUAUAACCAAAGAUUUAUCGGUAUGAGAUGGUGAUGCGUCCGAUUAGGUAGUAGGCGGGGUAACGGCCCACCUAGCCUUCGAUCGGUAGGGGUUCUGAGAGGAAGGUCCCCCACACUGGAACUGAGACACGGUCCAGACUCCUACGGGAGGCAGCAGUGAGGAGUAUUGGUCAAUGGACGGAAGUCUGAACCAGCCAAGUAGCGUGCAGGAUGACGGCCCUCCGGGUUGUAAACUGCUUUUAGUUGGGAAUAAAAAAGAGGACGUGUCCUCUCUUGUAUGUACCUUCAGAAAAAGGACCGGCUAAUUCCGUGCCAGCAGCCGCGGUAAUACGGAAGGUCCAGGCGUUAUCCGGAUUUAUUGGGUUUAAAGGGAGCGUAGGCGGAUUAUUAAGUCAGUGGUGAAAGACGGUGGCUCAACCAUCGUUAGCCAUUGAAACUGGUAGUCUUGAGUGCAGACAGGGAUGCUGGAACUCGUGGUGUAGCGGUGAAAUGCUUAGAUAUCACGAUGAACUCCGAUCGCGAAGGCAGGUGUCCGGGCUGCAACUGACGCUGAGGCUCGAAAGUGUGGGUAUCAAACAGGAUUAGAUACCCU
rnacentral:rRNA from 1 species